AAAACAUCGCCUCCUGCAAAAAUCAACGUAUAGGAGGUCCAACCUGCCCAGUGACCAAGUUCAACGGCCGCGGUAUUUUGACCGUGCAAAGGUAGCGCAAUUAAUUGUCUUCUAAAUAGAGACCUGUAUGAAUGGUGAAACGAGGGCUUAACUGUCUCCCCUUUCCAAUCAAUGAAAUUGAUCUACCCGUGCAGAAGCGGGUAUAAAUCUACAAGACGAGAAGACCCUAUGGAGCUUAAGAUAUAUGUCACCUGUGUAAAGACUUCUCACUAAAAGAACAAAACAACAACAACUGACUCACAUCUUCGGUUGGGGCGACCACGGGGGAAAAAAAAUCCCCCGCGUGGAAUGGGGCCCCCCCCAAAACCACGAGGCACACCUCUAAGUCACAGAACUUCUGACCAAAAGAUCCGGCAUUCAGCCGAUCAACGAACCAAGUUACCCUAGGGAUAACAGCGCAAUCCUCUUCAAGAGUCCCUAUCGACAAGGGGGUUUACGACCUCGAUGUUGGACCAGGACAUCCUAAUGGUGCAGCCGCUAUUAAGGGUUCGUUUGUUCAACGAUUAAAGUCCUACGUGAUCUG
rnacentral:rRNA from 1 species